rnacentral:rRNA from 1 species
GAUGAACGCUGGCGGCGUGCCUAAUACAUGCAAGUCGAGCGAAGCGGCGGACGGGUGAGUAAUGCCUAGGAAUCUGCCUGGUAGUGGGGGAUAACGUCCGGAAACGGGCGCUAAUACCGCAUACUAUCAGAUGAGCCUAGGUCGGAUUAGCUAGUUGGUGGGGUAAAGGCCUACCAAGGCGACGAUCCGUAACUGGUCUGAGAGGAUGAUCAGUCACACUGGAACUGAGACACGGUCCAGACUCCUACGGGAGGCAGCAGUGGGGAAUAUUGGACAAUGGGCGAAAGCCUGAUCCAGCCAUGCCGCGUGUGUGAAGAAGGUCUUCGGAUUGUAAAGCACUUUAAGUUGGGAGGCGUUACCAACAGAAUAAGCACCGGCUAACUUCGUGCCAGCAGCCGCGGUAAUUC